rnacentral:rRNA from 2 species
AGUAGGGAAUUUUCGGCAAUGGGCGAAACCCUGACCGAGCAACGCCGCGUGAAUGAAGAAGCACUUAGGUGCGUAAAAUUCUUUUAUUAGGGAAGAAUAGCUAGUAUAGGAAAUGAUAUUAGUGUGACGGUACCUAAUGAAUAAGCCCCGGCUAACUAUGUGCCAGCAGCCGCGGUAAUACAUAGGGGGCAAGCGUUAUCCGGAAUUAUUGGGCGUAAAGGGUGAGUAGGCGGCUACUUAAGUUUGAGGUAUAAGCACAGUGCUUAACGCUGUGAGGCUUUGAAAACUGGGUAGCUAGAGUUAGAUAGAGGCAAGUGGAAUUCCAUGUGUAGCGGUAAAAUGCGUAAAUAUAUGGAGGAACACCAGUGGCGAAGGCGGCUUGCUGGGUCUAUACUGACGCUGAGGCACGAAAGCGUGGGGAGCAAACAGGAUUAGAUACCCUGGUAGUCCACGCCGUAAACGAUGAGUACUAAGUGUCGGAAGAAUUCGGUGCUGUAGUUAACGCAWUAAGUACUCCGCCUGAGUAGUACGUACGCAAGUAUGAAA